UUAAGUUGUCUCAGGGGGAAUAUAUUGCUGUUGAGAGCAUCGAAAACAAGUAUUCACAGUGCCCUCUAAUAACAUCGAUUUGGGUAUAUGGAAACAGUUUCGAGUCAUUCCUGGUGGCUGUGGUGGUCCCA